GAGUUUGAUCCUGGCUCAGGACGAACGCUGGCGGCGUGCUUAACACAUGCAAGUCGAACGAAGCUUGAUUUAUGAUUUCUUCGGAAUGAAUAAUGAUAUGACUGAGUGGCGGACGGGUGAGUAACGCGUGAGCAACCUACCCUUCGGAGGGGGAUAGCGUCUGGAAACGGACGGUAAUACCGCAUAAAGUGUCUUGACCGCAUGAUCGAGAUACCAAAACUGAGGUGCCGAAGGAUGGGCUCGCGUUGGAUUAGAUAGUUGGUGGGGUAACGGCCUACCAAGGCGACGAUCCAUAGCCGGCCUGAGAGGGUGAACGGCCACAUUGGGACUGAGACACGGCCCAGACUCCUACGGGAGGCAGCAGUGGGGAAUAUUGCACAAUGGGGGAAACCCUGAUGCAGCGACGCCGCGUGAAGGAAGAAGUAUCUCGGUAUGUAAACUUCUAUCAGCAGGGAAGAUAAUGACGGUACCUGACUAAGAAGCCCCGGCUAACUACGUGCCAGCCGCCGCGGUAAUUC
rnacentral:rRNA from 1 species